AACGAACGCUGGCGGCAUGCCUAACACAUGCAAGUCGAACGGGAUCCUAGCUUGCUAGGUGAGAGUGGCGGACGGGUGAGUAACACGUGGGAAUCUGCCUUUUGGUUCGGGAUAACCGCGGGAAAACUGCGGCUAAUACCGAAUGCCCUCGAGAGAGGAAAGAUUUAUCGCCAGAAGAGGAGCCCGCGUCCGAUUAGGUAGUUGGUGGGGUAAAGGCCUACCAAGCCGACGAUCGGUAGCUGGUCUGAGAGGAUGAUCAGCCACACUGGGACUGAGAUACGGCCCAGACUCCUACGGGAGGCAGCAGUGGGGAAUAUUGGGACAAUGGGGGCAACCCCGAUCCAGCAAUGACCGCGUGAGUGAUGAAGGCCUUAGGGUUGUAAAAGCGUACUUUUU
rnacentral:rRNA from 1 species